UCUCCCCCAGCCCCGCCAACCCCCGUCCCCCGGCAGCGGCCCCCGGGCCUCGCUCUGUCCCUGCCUUCCUGGGCUUCCCACACUCGCGGCCCAGCGAGCCUCCGGGCCCUCCCACCAUCCUUCCCGCACCUUCUUGACUUCAGCAUCCUACCGGAAACUUCCCUGGCCCUUUCUUUCCACCUGCUUUUUAACUGCCCCGUUGGCCUCCAUCCUUAAUUACUCACGCCUCAUGCUGAUCCUGAGGAUAUAGCUCAACCCUCCUUCCGCCUAGCUAUUCAUUUUCAGUUAAAUUAGUAUUCGUUUAGCACCUGUUAUAUACAGGUGCUAACAAGACGGAAGGUCGCACAUUCUGGUGGGGCGAAAUGGGAGGGGGUGGAUGCUAAGCUAGUAAAUAAGCAAGACCUGUGGGAUAGUUAGGGCUAUGAAGAAGACAGAUAAGCCAUGUGACAGAGUCGACUGCGGAGCUCUUUUAGAGUGGGACCUCAAGGACAACUUCUCUGAAGAAAGAAGUGAUGUUUGAGCCUCUUCCCCGAAGUGUCUUAUCCAGGAGCCCCCAUUGGAUAAAGCCUUGACUUUGGAGAGGGGCCUUGGAUCCCAUUUUCUAAAACUCCUCUUUCGGCCCACCUCCUCAUGUCAGCCUCACUUGAUGAAGUUGCUGAGGAGUCUGAGGUAUUGUUGUUUCUGCCUUUUUCCUUCAUCCCACCCCAGCUGGCCUGGAGAAGCUUCUGCUUUUGUAUGGGUCUAUUCUGGGUCUUUAGAAGAGCUGGCUUGGUGUCUAGCAAGAGACCAGAGUUUGGUUCUGCUGCUGCUACUAGUCUUCUUGAUAAUUUGUGGGCAAGUCUCUUGAUUUCGCUGAUCAGUUUUCUUGAUCUUGAAAGAAGCACAGGGAGCAACCUAACACAGUGAACCCUUCCAGCAAGUCUGUGAGGUGAUAUCCUCAUGCGGUGGGUGAGCACGUACCAUCAGAGGGGUUGAGUGACUUGUGCAGGGUGGCAGGCUGGAUUGACGCCCUUUCCACCACACCACUGCUGUUUCUGAGUAACCAUGCUCUUGUGACUUAAGAUAGAUUACAGGUUUUGAGUACUUGUACUUGCUUUUUUAUAGCAAGGAUGUAUUUUGCUUGUCUCUACUUUCUGUCUCAGGUACUGGAAAAAUAAGGGGGGAAGAAAAAGCUUAUUAUUAUUGGUAUUGAAUGAAAGAUUUCAGAUAUCAACAUGGUAACAUAGUGAAAAAAACAAGUUGCAGAAGGAUAGGCAAUAUGAUACCACGUAGGAAAUGCUUUAAUAGAACUAAAAUGAUAUUUUAUCUUACCUGUGAAUACGUACGUAUUGUAUAAUGAAGGUAGACAAACAUGCUUGAGAAUGUUACACACCAGCUUCAGGAUUUUGCUGGCCUCUGGAGGUCUGGGAGGAGAGCGCAGAGAAAAGGAUGAGAAUGAGUGGAACUUCAGCCAUAUCAAAAAGGUUGGAAACAAAUAUAGUAACAUGGUGGAUACUGAGAUGUGGUUUUCUACAUGUUUCAAAGAACUUGUUUUCAAUUCUUUCUUAAAUUAUGACCUACACUAGUAGGUAUGAAAUGGUUGAAAAUUAUCUUUAAAAACAAAGAUCCACAAUGAAGGACUUGGGUGUCUGCAAUUCUUGGGGUAAGGACUGCCUUUAGAGAAAUGUCUAAUAAUUCUCCUCCCUGUUGGGUAGCGUGAGUACUUCCUCUGAUUAAGUUCUCCGUAGUCCUGUGAGAGCCAGCUCAGUUACCACUUCCUAGGCAAAGUCCUCUCUGACUUGACCAGGUAGAACUAGUCUCUGCCUCUCGUGUCCCUACAAUUCUUGGUCAAUCCAUUUAUCAUAUUGUUUUUUUAUUUAGACUCUUUAUCAGGUUUUCGUGCUUUUUGUAGUAAAAUUAACACAUACACACACACCCAGGUGGUUACAGCAUGGAUUUUGUUGAGGCAGGAACCAACUAUUUCAUGUUUACCUUUUGCCUGGUACCAAGUUCAGUGCUGGAAUAAGUGAAUGACGAGAUAAAUAUGUGGUUCCCUGUGAAGGGCAGAAAGUGUGAUGUCCUCACUGUCAUGUAAGAAUGACAAAUAUGCCAGCCAAGUAGGCUAGCAAGCCUAAUCAGGUUAUAAUCAUCUCUGCUACCUUUCCCCAAAGCCCAGAGAGCUCCAGGUGUAAAAUGUUUCCUGGUGUCCUGAGGCAUCCAUUUCCUAACCUGAUGAUCUGGCUCUUUCUGCCUCCACC